rnacentral:rRNA from 1 species
AACGAACGCUGGCGGCAUGCCUAACACAUGCAAGUCGAACGAGACCUUCGGGUCUAGUGGCGCACGGGUGCGUAACGCGUGGGAACCUGCCCUUAGGUUCGGAAUAACUCCCCGAAAGGGGUGCUAAUACCGGAUAAUGUCUUCGGUCCAAAGAUUUAUCGCCUUUGGAUGGGCCCGCGUUGGAUUAGCUAGUUGGUAGGGUAAAAGCCUACCAAGGCGACGAUCCAUAGCUGGUCUGAGAGGAUGAUCAGCCACACUGGGACUGAGACACGGCCCAGACUCCUACGGGAGGCAGCAGUGGGGAAUAUUGGACAAUGGACGAAAGCCUGAUCCAGCAAUGCCGCGUGAGUGAUGAAGGCCUUAGGGUUGUAAAGCUCUUUUACCCGGGAUGAUAAUGACAGUACCGGGAGAAUAAGCUCCGGCUAACUCCGUG